GUCUAUGGCUAUACCACCCUGAAUAUGCCCAAUCUCAUCUGAUUUCAGAAGCUAAGUAGGGUCGGACCUGGUUAGUACUUGGAUAGGACACAAACUCUGCAUUGGGUGAUGAACAUAGCCAUGGUUA
rnacentral:rRNA from 1 species